rnacentral:rRNA from 1 species
UACGUAGGUGGCAAGCGUUGUCCGGAGUUAUUGGGCGUAAAGCGCGCGCAGGCGGUGCGGUAAGUCUCUGGUGAAAGCGCUCGGCUUAACUGGGCGAGGGCCGGGGAGACUGCCACGCUGGAGGGGAGCAGAGGCGAGUGGAAUUCCGGGUGUAGUGGUGAAAUGCGUAGAGAUCCGGAGGAACACCAGUGGCGAAGGCGGCUCGCUGGGCUCUACCUGACGCUGAGGCGCGAAAGCGUGGGGAGCGAACGGG